rnacentral:rRNA from 1 species
AUUGAACGCUGGCGGCAGGCUUAACACAUGCAAGUCGAGCGGGGUGAUGGUGCUUGCACUAUCACUUAGCGGCGGACGGGUGAGUAAUGCUUAGGAAUCUGCCUAUUAGUGGGGGACAACAUCUCGGAAGGGAUGCUAAUACCGCAUACGUCCUACGGGAGAAAGCAGGGGAUCACUUGUGACCUUGCGCUAAUAGAUGAGCCUAAGUCGGAUUAGCUAGUUGGUGGGGUAAAGGCCUACCAAGGCGACGAUCUGUAGCGGGUCUGAGAGGAUGAUCCGCCACACUGGGAAUGAGACACGGCCCAGACUCCUACGGGAGGCAGCAGUGGGGAAUAUUGGACAAUGGGGGGAACCCUGAUCUAGCCAUGCCGCGUGUGUGAAGAAGGCCUUAUGGUUGUAAAGCACUUUAAGCGAGGAGGAGGCUCUUUUGGUUAAUACCCAAGAUGAGUGGACGUUACUCGCAGAAUAAGCACCGGCUAACUCUGUGCCAGCCGCCGCAGUAA